rnacentral:rRNA from 1 species
GCACCGGUUCUCGUCCGAUCACCGAAGUUAAGCAACGUCGGGCCCGGUUAGUACUUGGAUGGGUGACCGCCUGGGAAUACCGGGUGCAGUAGACU